rnacentral:rRNA from 1 species
GAUGAACGCUGGCGGCGUGCCUAAUACAUGCAAGUCGAGCGAACAGACGAGGAGCUUGCUCCUCUGACGUUAGCGGCGGACGGGUGAGUAACACGUGGAUAACCUACCUAUAAGACUGGGAUAACUUCGGGAAACCGGAGCUAAUACCGGAUAAUAUAUUGAACCGCAUGGUUCAAUAGUGAAAGACGGUUUUGCUGUCACUUAUAGAUGGAUCCGCGCCGCAUUAGCUAGUUGGUAAGGUAACGGCUUACCAAGGCAACGAUGCGUAGCCGACCUGAGAGGGUGAUCGGCCACACUGGAUCUGAGACACGGUCCAGACUCCUACGGGAGGCAGCAGUAGGGAAUCUUCCGCAAUGGGCGAAAGCUUGACGGAGCAACGCCGCGUGAGUGAUGAAGGUCUUCGGAUCGCAAAACUCUGUUAUUAGGGAAGAACAAAUGUGUAAGUAACUAUGCACGUCUUGACGGUACCUAAUCAGAAAGCCACGGCUAACUACGUG